UGUCAUUAUAAACACAGUUUUUCCCGGGUUGUUAAAGUCAACGAAAUUUGUUCAAACUGCUUCUCCCUCGCGAUAUGACGUCAUGGACAGCGAAGUCUCCAAACCAUCAACUAGUCAGAGUACCAUGUCUUAUGCAGCAACUGAAACUGACAGCAAAGGUGAGAACGACAUUUCCUGUUCAUCGGGAUCAGAAUGGAAUAUUGCCGACAAGAGUUGUUCUACCAAUUCAAUGGAAUCAGACUGGACUGUUGAUAAGAAUUGCUGUUCAGACACAGACACGGAGGAAAGUUAUGAAAAAGAAGACUUCGACAGUGAAAAAGAACAACAAACAGAGCACAACAGCAUAGACGACAGCGAUAAAAUAGGUGAAACAAGGUGCCAACAAGCUAGACGACCUGCACCGAUUGUUUUGGACAAUAAUGUUGAUAGCCGGCACAUAGACAAAAAAGCAAAGAUUUUUUGUGACAAACACCUGAAAAUAUAUAUAAAAAAACAUGCUACAUCAGGCAAGUUAAAGUCAGGAAGAAUAUACAACAUUGUGCACGCAUGCUUUUAUUGUUAGAAACUUAUGACAAAUAUCCAAAAACAUCUGGAAAAUGUACACAGAUCCGAAAAUGAAGUUAAGUCAAUUAUAAAAGCUAAAUUCAGACUAUCUACUUAUCAAC